rnacentral:lncRNA from 1 species
AUGGGGGAGAGGCUACACAGGGGAGAGGCCGCACGCUGGGGAGAUGGUCCCUGCGGGAAGACUCCGAGGCAGUCUCCUGCAGCUCCUUCCGGCGAAUCCGGUUCAGGAAGUAAAACCAGCCCUGUGUAGAGCCAUGCCAGGCAGGAAAAUGGGCACCUCUAGUGACCCAGGCUGGCUGAGAGCCUGCAGGGAAGAGCCUUUGGAACGUGAGCCACUGUGGGCUGGCAGGACUGCAACUGGCGUCUCCAUCUACUGGUACCGAGGCGAGGAGGAAAAAGCAGGGGGGCCCGGAGACGGCCCCUCUAAGUCUGUAACUCCAGAGCUGCUGCUCAGUCCCCAGAACGUCACCUCCGAGCAGAGCCUGUGACAACUGUCAACUGUGAAGCUGUGGCGUGGGUUGCUACUGAAGCUCUGAAGUCAGCGAGGACACAGCAUGUUUGUUCUAGACCGUUUGGCUGCGGGAGGAAGCUGUACAUGCACACACUCGCCUCACCACCCUGCGAGUCCACAGGCCCCUCCCCGGAGUCACCUCCAGGUAAAGGGGGCCCUGCGU